rnacentral:lncRNA from 1 species
UUUUUUUUUUUUUUUCUUUUUAGGACCGUACCUGUGGCAUAUGGAAGUUCCCAGGCUAGGUGUCCAAUUGGAGCUGUAGCUGCCUGCCUGCACCACAGCCACAGCAACGGAAAAACGUUGGGAUCUGAGCCGCGUCUACAAACUGCACCACAGCUCACGGCAACGAUGGAUACCUAACCCACUGAGAAAGGCUAGAGAUCGAACCUGCGUUCUCAUGCAGGUUCAUGACAGCUGAGCCAUGACGGGAAAUGACUUCUAGCAAAAACACAGAAGUAUGACAAAAACUCACUAACACUAAAAAAAGAAGUAAAAGUCAAGAAGCAAGCAGGCUGCAGUUAAGCCAGUUGGCAGAGAUGGUCAGGCUUUAACUCCUGAUCUGAUUUUUUUUUUUGUCUUUUCUAGGGCCGCACCCAUGGCAAAUGGAGAAAACAAACAAACAAACAAAAAAAACAAAAAAAAAAACUUAGGAGAAAAAAAAUGUGUCUGUAAAGUUAUGAGCUUAUGAGUGGGCUACAACUUGGCUUCUAGGAUGUUUCCUGAAGCUCCAUGUUAUCAGGAGGUAUUAGGCUAGGGGGCAGGAGGGUGAGAGUGGCAAAGACACUCAGGUGGGGAGUGUGGUUAAAGAGGGCCGUGUGCAAAAGACAACAGCCACCUGCGUCAAUGGCUUCCUAACGCGCAACAGGAGAGGCCUCAGAGCGUAUUAAUAGGAAUAUUACGUCCAGAAUAAAGGAGGGAUAGUCCCGCUGUAAGUUAGGUCUCACCUGGAAUUUUGCAGGCAAGUCUGGGUUCUUACCUUUAUACAGAGACUUUGACCAGCCAGAAAAAGAGAGAUGACAGCAACUGAGAUGAAAGGGUCCUGAAAUCACAUCGCAUCCCUGCGCCCAACUCUGCGGAGCGAGGCCCUGUCAAGGCUCCGGGUCUCCUGGCGACCUCUCAAACCUCAUUUCCCACCCCCGCCCCCUGACUGUCUGCCCUCCAGCGUCCCCGACCUCCUUGGUCCUCCGCAGACACCAAGGAUGUGUCAUUGCAGGGCCUUGGCUCCCCUCCCCCCAUUUCAAAUGGCUCAUCCCUCAAUCCAGUCGGGUCUCGGCUCAGAUGUCACCUCCUCAUCGGGGCUCCCUUGCCUCCUGACCCAGAGCAGCAUGCCCCUGUCCGAGUCUCUGAGCUUGCCUUUCCUUCAGUGUUUUUAUUAUUCUAUGACCCGACAUUCUCCAUUCACGUGUAACUGUUUAUUCUCUGUCUUCUGAAAUAGAGGACAAGGCCCGGAGGGAUGGGACUUUGUCUGCUGCCCUCUCACAUCCCGACUGGUACACCUCAGUGAACAAUUUGUAAUGGACACAGUGAAUACAGCAAGGCCCUACUGCAAACCCGAGGACGCAAAGCCUCUGAGAACCUCUCAGACACGGAAGGGGCCACGAGGCUUUUCCCACGUGGCCAGGCUGGAGCAAUGAGUGGGUGCCGGGGAGAGAGCUUCAGGAAUCUCAGGCUCUGGGUAAAGAACUCUUUCCCGGGAUUCCCGCUGUGGCACGACAGGUCUGGUGGCAUCUCUG